UGAUCAAUCCCCCUUAUAUCGUGCCGAGCAGGUGAAUGAUUUGAAGGUCAUUGGAACAGGGAUGUUCCGAUGAGCGCAACCAGGACAGGAAGUCCUGUUUGCGCGACCUGCAAAAAUCAUGAGCAUGCGAGGGUAUCCGCAGGACACGAUAUCGGGGGAAGGCUUU
rfam:Gammaproteobacteria bacterium RBG_16_51_14 RBG_16_scaffold_412, whole genome shotgun sequence.